GUUGGUUGAUGAAACUCGUCACUUUCACAUAUUUUUCUGUCUUGUCGAAGUCGUCACUACGCAAAUAGAGUCAUGUAUCCCGGCUUGCCAUCUCAGGGGAAUCAGUGAUUUGUUCAAUUAUAUUGAAAAAUAUUUUCGCAUUUGAUGAAUAGUUCAGUAAAUCUGGAUGAAAACUAGCGUAUUUCUGGAAUCAUUCAUUUAAU
rnacentral:lncRNA from 1 species